GGCUGGGACGGACAGCUGUCGGCAGAGCCAUCAGAACUUCCGCAGGAAGGAGCUGGGUCUUUUCCCAGCAAAGGGAAGACGCUGGCGGCAAGAGGCACGCAAUGACUGGGCAGGUCUCCUGGGGCACGGAGGAGCCGGCUGGCACAAAUCCCAGUGGAGUCCACGUACAUCAAGCGCAUGGGAAAAGGAAGACGCAGCGGGGCUAUUUUAGCAACUGGCGCAUCCCCAGGAAGAGGGAAAACUUCUUAUUCGGGCUUCCAAGGGGGGACCCAAAGUGGCCCUUUUCUGUCUGGCUAAUGGACACGGAGCUGCAUGCAGCACCCGGUAUACACCUGCUUGUCGUCCUCACGCUUGUGUCAUCUUGUAAAUCUCAGCCCUCCAUCUUACUGUCUCGCUAAGCAAUGCUGAAGAACACUGAGCUAACGCAUUUACUAAAGUUGCCGCCAGCGAAUCAACCAGAAAUCCUCUUUUUGAUGAUACAGUAAUACACUUCAUACAUACAGACUCUGGUGGGGCUUUGCUGUAUUUUUAGACCGGAGGAAGGAAGGAAGGCGGGGACAUUUCUUGCCUAGAAAAGAGAAGAAUAAGUCAAACACCAAGGGCAAGUCCAUUUCGUAACUGGGAUGAAUGUUCAGACAGACCCACAGCCUGAACUGACGAUCCGAGGAGGGUUUUAUAGGUGCCUUUUUAUCCGAUGAAACUACGCAGUCAGGCGACGUUGAAGCACAAAUUUUCAUUUGCAAAGGAAAAAAACAAAAGAUUGAGGAAGGCAGCUUCCUGUCGCAACCGACAAUGGACAGCAGGGUCACCACCUUUAAUCUUGUCCCCCAGAAAUUCCACACGCUGACUAGCACUAAGCAACUUUUCCCAGUUUGGGAUUCUCACGUUAGAAGCUCAGGCGCACCGUUACUCCGAUAUAAAUGUCCAUCUGAAUAUUCACUGGAGAAGCUGAACGGGAUUUGAGGGUGUCUCUCCCUUUUACAAACUCCACAGUAUGUUGUCGGAAGGUAACCUGGUUUCGUUAGGGAUUUUCGGGAGGACUAAUAAAAACUAAAUCAGUGUUUCUCAACCUUGGCGACUUUAAGAUGUGUGGACUUCAACUCUCAGAAUUCCCCAGCCAGCAUCUUAAAGUCGCCAAGGUUGAGAAACACUGAACUAGAUCAUCAAAGGUGAUCCAGGAA